rnacentral:lncRNA from 1 species
CUGGGCGGGGAGCUCUCCUCCUCCGAUCCUCCUCCGUUCCGCCCCGUCGGCUGAAUGCGCACGCGCGGCAAGAGCUGCGCGCGCAUUCAGCCGGUCACAUAGGAAAGCAUUCAUAAUGCUUUCCUAUGGACGCUGGCGUGCUCUCACUGUGAAAAUCACAGUGAGAAGCACGCAAGCGCCUCUAGUGGCUGUCAAUGAGACAGCCACUAGAGGUUUAGGGGGAAGGCUUAACCCAUUAAUAAACAUAGCAG